CCUACGGGAGUCAGCAGUGGGGAAUAUUGCACAAUGGGCGAAAGCCUGAUGCAGCAACGCCGCGUGAGUGAUGACGGCCUUCGGGUUGUAAACCUCUGUCUUCAGGGACGAUAAUGCCCGUACCUGAGGAGGAAGCCACGGCUAACUACGUGCCAGCAGCCGCGGUAAUACGUAGGUUGCGCGCGUUGUCCGGAUUUACUGGGCGUAAAGGGAGCGUAGGCGGACUGUUAAGUGAGAUGUGAAAUCCUCGGGCUCAACUUGAGUGCUGCAUUUCAAACUGGAAGUCUAGAGUGCCUGAGAGGAGAAUGGAAUUCCGGGUGUAGCGGUGAAAUGCGUAGAGAUUAGGAAGAACACCAGUGGCGAAGGCGAUUCUCUGGACUGUAACUGACGCUGAGGCGCGAAAGCGUGGGUAGCAAACAGGAUUAGAUACCCGGGUAGUC
rnacentral:rRNA from 1 species